UUCAUUUCAGUGACCGACACAGACCAAACCAGGAGGAUGUCAACUUCUGAGGACUUUGCAUUGUCCAGUGAGCAUUUGGCAGCAAGGGACAAUGGCAGAGGCAUAGCAUUCCACUUCUUUGAUGCAGUUGACUCAGGAUACAGUUUGCAACCUGGUGUCAUCCCAACCAAUUUUGAUGUCCAACAAUUACAGGAAAUGCCUAACCUGCCUAGUCCAAUAAGAAAUCUUCAUGAAUCUGAGAACAAUGCUAUGAGAAGUCCCACGAUUGCUCUCUGUUCUUGUGAAGGAUCUCCCAUCGCCACCAUCAUUCACCUAAUGGCCGAAAUGAGUUCACGAGAUGAACUUAAAAACAGACUCCGAAGACAGUUAGUGAUAACAAUCCAGCAACGUGACGAGUACCAGAGGAGAGACAGAGAAGCCAAAGCCAAAGUGAGGAUGUUUGAGAGAAAGGCCAUUGUGUUGAGGGCACAGGUCAGUGCUUUACAACCAGGUCAAUUCCAUUUACCAUCUGGUCAGAUCUCAAACUUAGUGCGAGCCAGCAGACAAAUACAGGAACUGCGUGAACAGGCUAGACAGUAUCAAAUGCCUAUUCCGAUAAGAACUGUUCGUGGAUCUCAGAACAGUGCUAUGAGAUGCCAUGGUGACACUCUCUGUCCCUCUUGUGGCCAACCUCUCACCUCAAUCAGCAUACGCCUACGGGCGGUGAUGAGAUCCCGGCAAGCACUGAAAAACACCUUUCGAAGACAAUUCGCGCUGAUAAUCCAGCAACGUGAUGAGCUCAGGACCAGAGCCAGAGAAGCUGAAGCUAAAGGGAGGAUUUUGGAGAGAAGGCACAUCUGAUGAAGGCACAAGUCAGAGCUGUGCAUGAGGCCUAUCUAAGAGAUAUCGAGUUAGGUAAACUCAGUAACCCAUAAACAAAUGUUGUGUGAACCUUGGGUUCUGGAACCAGGGGAUGUGAUGUUUGUGAGAAAUUGGAUGUUAUUUGAUAAAGUUAUUUGUCACUUACCCAAGUGGCGAGAAAUGGCUAGUUAUUUGAUGCAAGAUGAUUUGCAGUUGACAGCAAGUCAAUAGCCUUAUGACAGGCUUCUCUCAUGAGAGAGUUAGGUGAAAGAAUGAAAAUAUACAAUCAAUGCCAUGCAUUCGUGCAUAAAUUCCAUGCAUAAUUCCUUUGAAUACCAUAUUGAUCUUAGCUUUUCUGUACAAUAUUUUAAUAAAAAUGUAUACAUU